rnacentral:rRNA from 1 species
AGCUUAUUUCGCGCAGCUUAGGUGGGAGACGUUGAACCUUUUCUUCCGGGAAAGGGGGAGUCAUCAGUGAGAUACCACUCUUGGUAAGCUAGAGCGCUCAUUUUUAACCGUUAUCCGGUAAAAAGACAGUUUCAGGCGGGCAGUUUGACUGGGGCAGUCACCUCCCAAAAGGUAAUGGAGGUGUACAAAGGUUCUCUCAGGCUGGACGGAAAUCAGCCAUAGAGUGUAAAAGCAUAAGAGAGCUUGACUGCGAGACGGACAUGUCAAGCAGAGACGAAAGUCGGUUUUAGUGAUCCGACGGUGCUGAGUGGAGAGGCCGUCGCUCAACGGAUAAAAGUUACUCUAGGGAUAAC